UUCCGGUUGAUCCUGCCGGACCUGACUGCUAUCGGAUUGAUACUAAGCCAUGCGAGUCAUUGUAGCAAUGCAAGGCAUACGGCUCAGUAACGCGUAGUCAACCUAACCUAUGGAUGGGAAUAACCUCGGGAAACUGAGAAUAAUGCCCGAUAGAACAUUAUACCUGGAAUGGUUUGUGCUCCAAAUGAUUUAUCGCCGUAGGAUGGGACUGCGGCCUAUCAGUUUGUUGGUGAGGUAAUGGCCCACCAAGACUAUUACAGGUACGGGCUCUGAGAGGAGUAGCCCGGAGAUGGGUACUGAGACACGGACCCAGGCCCUAUGGGGCGCAGCAGGCGAGAAAACUUUGCAAUGUGCGAAAGCACGACAAGGUUAAUCCGAGUGAUUUCUGCUAAAGGAAUCUUUUGUUAGUCCUAGAAACACUAACGAAUAAGGGGUGGGCAAGUUCUGGUGUCAGCCGCCGCGGUAAAACCAGCACCUCAAGUGGUCAGGAUGAUUAUUGGGCCUAAAGCAUCCGUAGCCGGCUCUGUAAGUUUUCGGUUAAAUCUGUACGCUCAACGUACAGGCUGCCGGGAAUACUGCAUAGCUAGGGAGUGGGAGAAGUAGACGGUACUCGGUAGGAAGUGGUAAAAUGCUUUGAUCUAUCGAUGACCACCUGUGGCGAAGGCGGUCUACUAGAACACGUCCGACGGUGAGGGAUGAAAGCUGGGGGAGCAAACCGGAUUAGAUACCCGGGUAGUCCCAGCUGUAAACUAUGCAAACUCAGUGAUGCAUUGGCUUGUGGCCAAUGCAGUGUUGCAGGGAAGCCGUUAAGUUUGCCGCCUGGGAAGUACGUACGCAAGUAUGAAACUUAAAGGAAUUGGCGGGGGAGCACCACAAGGGGUGAAGCCUGCGGUUCAAUUGGAUUCAACGCCGGG
rnacentral:rRNA from 2 species